AUGACUUUGAUUACAGCUGUCAAGUCUGGAUGUGAUGAAGGAGUUUGGAGUGAGAUCAAACUGGACCAGUCUCCCUCUGAGGUGAAAAGACCUGGAGAGACAGUGAAGAUGUCAUGUAUCAUAUCUGACUUUGACAUGACAAGGCACUAUAUUCACUGGAUACAACAGAGACCAGGAGAAGCUCUGGAGUGGAUUGGGAGGAUGGAUGCAGGUUCAAACUCUGCUAGCUAUGGCAGCUCCUUUCAAAGCCGUUUCAUCAUGACUGAAGAUGUUCCCAGCAGCUCUCAGUACCUCGAGGUCCAGAGCCUGACAGCAGCAGAUUCUGCUGUUUACUUCUGUGCUCGCAGAGACACAGUGACUGAAGACAGUGGAGCAGCUGCACAAAAACCUCCACAGACAACAAACAGCAAUGUGUGGAUGGUCAGACUCUGA